rnacentral:rRNA from 1 species
UACGUAGGGUGCGAGCGUUGUCCGGAAUUACUGGGCGUAAAGAGCUCGUAGGUGGUUUGUCGCGUUGUUCGUGAAAACCUGAGGCUUAACCUUGGGCGUGCGGGCGAUACGGGCAGACUGGAGUACUGCAGGGGAGACUGGAAUUCCUGGUGUAGCGGUGAAAUGCGCAGAUAUCAGGAGGAACACCGGUGGCGAAGGCGGGUUGCUGGGCUGACACUGACGCUGAUGCGCGAAAGCCAGGGGAGCGAACGGG